rnacentral:rRNA from 1 species
CAGUCUCAGUUCAGAUUGUAGGCUGAAACUCGCCUAUAUGAAGUCGGAAUUGCUAGUAAUCGCGGAUCAGCAUGCCGCGGUGAAUACGUUCCCGGGCCUUGUACACACCGCCCGUCACACCAUGAGAGUCGAUAACACCCGAAGCCUGUAGUCUAACCGUAAGGGGGACGCAGUCGAAGGUGGGAUUGAUAAUUAGGGUGAAGUCGUAACAAGGUAGC